rnacentral:rRNA from 1 species
GGGUCAGUAGGUUGGUCGUGCCACCGGUACGUACUGGUCUCACUGAUUCCUCCUUCCUGAAGAACCGUAAUGCCAUUAAUUUGGUGUUGCGGGGAAACAGGACUGUUACUUUGAAAAAAUUAGAGUGUUUAAAGCAAGAUAACGCUUGAAUACAUUAGCAUGGAAUAAUGGAAUAGGACGAUCGAUCCAAUUUUGUUGGUUUCUAGGAUUGACGUA